rnacentral:lncRNA from 1 species
UGCGUGUGCGCGCAGGAAGGAAGGGCCCUUCCGGCGGGACGCCCGGGCCAAAACCUCGUUUGUCCCGCUGCCUUAACCAAGAAGCUUGAGGAGCAGCAGGAGAGGCGGCGUGUGCCCUGUCGGCAGUGCUGAAGUAGCACGGAGACACUGGGGCACAGACGGAUGAGAGGCUGUGCCAAGAUCAGCGCUGGCUGGGCCACCAAAACUGCUGCACAGGCAGCAUCCAGAGAGAAUGGAAUUUGUCACAUCAACACUGAUACUGCAGCUAAGCUUCAGUGCUUUAUAUGGGACUGUUUGGUGGAAGAGGAAACUGCAGUACUGAAAGCAGUCGGUGCUUGAAUGCAUGAGACCAUGACCUCUCACAGAAAGCAAAGAAUGUCUUCAGAAACUUAAAGAAAUACAAACUCAGUUAAAUCCUUUCAAGGUUCUUCUUCACAAGGCAACAAUAAACCAGUGUUUCACUUUUC